GUGGGGAAUAUUGGGCAAUGGGCGCAAGCCUGACCCAGCAACGCCGCGUGAAGGAAGAAGGCUUUCGGGUUGUAAACUUCUUUUACCAGGGACGAAACAAAUGACGGUACCUGGUGAAUAAGCCACGGCUAACUACGUGCCAGCAGCCGCGGUAAUACGUAGGUGGCGAGCGUUAUCCGGAUUUAUUGGGUGUAAAGGGCGUGUAGGCGGGACAGCAAGUCAGAUGUGAAAACCAGAGGCUCAACCUCUGGCCUGCAUUUGAAACUGUUGUUCUUGAGUGUCGGAGAGGUAAUCGGAAUUCCGGGUGUAGCGUUGAAAUGCGUAGAUAUACGGAGGAACACCAGUGGCGAAGGCGGAUUACUGGACUAUAAAUGACGCUGAGGCGCGAAAGCGUGGGGAGCAAACAGGAUUAGAUACCCGGGUAGUCC
rnacentral:rRNA from 1 species